rnacentral:pre_miRNA from 1 species
UGGACAGUGUUCCUAAUAGUCUGUUAUUAUUACACAAACCUUGGGAAUACUUUCGAGA